CCCCUCUCAGGGUCUCACUUGGAGAGUUUCCAGUACUCUCCCAGUCUCGGGUAUGGGUGGGAGAGUCAAGCAGAGGUCUACCCAUUCCAUUCCUAGCUUGGGCAAUGGCUAGCGAGUGGAAGACAAUUUGCUAGAAGU